rnacentral:rRNA from 1 species
AUGCGCGCCAUCCUCCUUGGGGCUCCAAUCUGUGAGUAUGUUGGUGUGUUGCCGAGGACUGGAGAGAAAAGGUCAGGGUCUGAUAUGCAUAUGCCAUCACUUCACGUCGAGAGCAAUUCCGAGGCACCACCGGCACUGGAGUACUGCACCGAUGCUGGAUCCGUUGGAAGUUUCGCAAGGUUCAUAAACCACGGCUGCAACCCUAACCUCUUCACCUACGCAGAUGACAUGCUGGACAUGCUAAUUAUAGUAGCACCUAACAUCGACAGCUGCAAUGUCAGGAACUCCCUCGCAAUUGCCGAAUAUGUCGCUGAAAUUUACAACUUCUACAGAGAGACCAAGGAGUUGAGUUGUGAGGCCCCCACCUACAUGACACACCAAACUGAUAUCAAUGAGAAAAGGCAUAGUAUUCCCAUUGACUGGUUGAUUGAGCUAAGUGCAGUACAAGCUUGA